rnacentral:lncRNA from 1 species
UUACCCUUUAAUUUUAAAAAUAGAAUUAAAAAAUGGCUUGAAAAAAUUAGUAAUUUUGAAAAGAAUAAAACAAAAGAAAGCUAUAUCCUCCCCAUAAAUCACUUCGACAAGAAAGAAUAACUAGUUACAAUUUUAAAAGAGAUAAUUUAUGGUGAUCUCCUGGAAGGAGAAAUUGAGUCUUUAAUUUGAUUUACUUAGUUUACAUUUGUUUUAAUGAUUUUGGCUCUCUUAUUCUUCUUUAUGAAUGAUAAUGGAAGCUUUUGAAAAUUUUGUUUAGAUGGAGAUGAGAAAUAGGUGUAGUGUAUAUUAUUUUUCUUAUGAGGAUAUAGAGCAUGACCUCAAAUGGCAAAAGAAAGAAGUUGAGGAGAAGGGUUUAUGGUGGUGAUGGUGAAAGAAAGCAAAUUUGUUAAAUCUAUCAUGCUUUUUUUUUCUUGAUUAGUUUUAGGGUUAAAGGACUAAAAUGAUCAUCUUUUCAUAUACAUUAAGGACCAUAUGGAUCAUAU